rnacentral:rRNA from 1 species
AAUGGUUGGAAAUCAUUCAUAGAGUGUAAAGGCAUAAGGGAGCUUGACUGCGAGACCUACAAGUCGAGCAGGGUCGAAAGACGGACUUAGUGAUCCGGUGGUUCCGCAUGGAAGGGCCAUCGCUCAACGGAUAAAAGCUACCCCGGGGAUAACAGGCUUAUCUCCCCCAAGAGUUCACAUCGACGGGGAGGUUUGGCACCUCGAUGUCGGCUCAUCGCAUCCUGGGGCUGUAGUCGGUCCCAAGGGUUGGGCUGUUCGCCCAUUAAAGCGGUACGCGAGCUGGGUUCAGAACGUCGUGAGACAGUUCGGUCCCUAUCCGUCGUGGGCGUAGGAAAUUUGAGAGGAGCUGUCCUUAGUACGAGAGGACCGGGAUGGACAUACCUCUGGUGUACCAGUUGUCGUGCCAACGGCAUAGCUGGGUAGCUAUGUGUGGACGGGAUAAGUGCUGAAAGCAUCUAAGCAUGAAGCCCCCCUCAAGAUGAGAUUUCCCAACUUCGGUUAUAAGAUCCCUCAAAGAUGAUGAGGUUAAUAGGUUCGAGGUGGAAGCAUGGUGACAUGUGGAGCUGACGAAUACUAAUCGAUCGAAGACUUAAUCAAAA